GGUGACAGACUGAGUUAGUCCAAAUAAAAUCUGUCUUUGCUGUUCUUGUCCCUCCCGAUCUAACUCCAGAAUUGUAUUCAGAUUAUGCCUGUGAACAAGAGAAGUGGGGGACUGGAAAUCAAUGAUUGGAAACUUGGCCAAAUGGGUGAACAUAAUAAUGAGGGGACAGGCUUCCAGCAACCACUCGCUCCUUGGGGCCUCAGAGAGACUUGUGGGGAGAACAGCAUGCAAUGCUGCUGACCGCCAGCA